UACAGAGGAUGCAAGCGUUAUCCGGAAUGAUUGGGCGUAAAGCGUCUGUAGGUGGCUUUUAAGUCCGCCGUCAAAUCCCAGGGCUCAACUCUGGACAGGCGGUGGAAACUACCAAGCUGGAGUACGGUACGGGGCAGAGGGAAUUUCCGGUGGAGCGGUGAAAUGCGUAGAGAGUGGAAAGAACACCAACGGCGAAAGCACUCUGCUGGGCCGACACUGACACUGAGAGACGAAAGCUAGGGGAGCGAAUGGG
rnacentral:rRNA from 1 species